CCGAAACAGCAAAAAAACUGAAAUCAUUAGAAAUCAGCUUUGAGACAGUCUGGUCCCGUCCAGUCCUGAUCUACCUCCCCUCCCCUCCCCUUUUCUUUCCAUUUAUGCGAGAGAGAAGGAAAACAAUUCCUUCCUCCUUCCUCAAAAACAAGUGUCCAAACAUAUGCUCAUUUUCCUUCCUUCUUCGCUGCCACCGUCCUCUCAUCAUUUACGCGUUUUGCUGCCCUUUUUCCUUUCUCUCCGACGAAAAUCAACAAUCCCAUAAAUCAAGAGACCAAGAACAGCUACUGUCUGCUUCAGAUCUGCUUGCAAAACCAUCCUUCAAAAUCCAAUUUUGCUUCUUUCUCUUUGUUUCUUCAUUUCCACCGAAUAAUGGAUUCUGAGCAGCGCCGCAAGCGAAAGCGAAUAUACAAACCGAACGCCAACUUCUUUUCUGUAAGGUCUUUAACCGUUUGCUUGUCUUUUUUCGUCUUUCUCCUCUUCAUUUCUUCAGAUCGCUCGCCUAUCCGUACUGGGUCUUUUCGCCCAGUUCUCUAUGUACCCGCUUCUUUGUCGCUUUUGCCUGCUCGUCUGGCUCUAACUCGAGAUUCCUUUGGUGCUAGAUCCCUGUCUUUGAUAGUUGAGGAUAGGGUCUUGUUGCCUGACCACUUGCUGCUCAUUGUUUCUAAUAAACUUCGUACCAGUGACAAUUUUCUGUGUGUUUACUAUAGUUUGUUCAAUUCUUCGUCUUCUGAAGAUGUGGUUUUAAAGCCUGCUAUAUCUGUAGAUGAGUAUCGUGGGGAUAAGUCCAUCGUUAGGUGCCAGCUUCCGCCGAUGAAUUUUUCCACCGCCGUUAACUUGCGGCGGACUUGGGAGGUGGCGGAAGGUGAUGGGUUGUUGCGGGGUAAUGCGGCGGUGGCGGUUCCUUCAUGGAAUAGAGUGGUCUAUGAGGCUAUAUUGGAUUUGAACACAGCGGUUGUGUUCGUUAAAGGAUUGAAUCUUCGUCCACACGAGGACUCAGAUACAACCCAAUUUAGGUGCCACUUUAGUUUAACCAACUUUGAUAAGGGUGAAGGAUUUGUGUUCACUACCGAAGCAACCGCGGCUGCACAAGAGGUUCUUAGGUGUUUGUUGCCCCGAAGUGUUCGGAGGAAUCCAGAGAAGGCUAUGGGGAUUCGAGUGACAGUUAGCCGUGUUGAUGCUGAUGAAAACGCCAUUGAUGGACCUCUGCCUUCUGUAGCCAAAGUUUAUGGUACAAAGACGUAUAAGCGGAGGAGUUACAGUGGGAAAAAGUAUGAGCUCUGUGCUUGUACAAUGCUGUGGAACCAAGCCUCCUUUCUUCGGGAGUGGAUUGUCUACCAUGCUUGGCUGGGGGUAGAGCGAUGGUUCAUCUAUGACAACAAUAGCGACGAUGAGAUUCAGGAGGUAAUUGAUGAGCUUAAUUUGCAGAACUACAAUGUCAGUAGGCAUGCUUGGCCGUGGACUAAAGCACAGGAGGCUGGUUUUUCGCAUUGUGCUUUGCGAGCAAGGAGUGAAUGCAAGUGGCUGGGGUUCUUUGAUGUGGACGAGUUUUUCUUCUUCCCUCGUCACCGUGCACGAGAUAUGCAGGGUCAGAGCUCACUUCGAACCCUGGUUGCGAAGUACACGAAUUCACCAAAAUACGCAGAGAUAAGAAUAAUUUGUCACAGCUUUGGACCUUCUGGUUUGACCGCAGCCCCAUCACAGGGAGUAACCGUUGGUUAUACUUGCCGGCUUCAAGCUCCUGAACGGCACAAAUCUAUUGUGCGCCCAGAACUACUGGAUGCAACCCUUCUCAAUGUGGUGCAUCACUUUAGACUACAGCGCGGAUACAGGUACCUGAAUGUGCCUGAAAGUAAAGCUGUAGUGAACCACUAUAAAUAUCAGGUGUGGGAUACUUUCAAAACCAAGUUCUUCAGGCGAGUUUCUACCUAUGUUGCUAAUUGGCAAGAGGACCAAAACAAGGGUUCAAAAGACAGAGCACCUGGACUAGGGACAGUGGCCAUAGAACCUCCUGAUUGGCGACUACGGUUCUGUGAAGUUUGGGACACUGGUCUUAAGGAUUUUGUCUUGGCCAACUUUGCUGAUACUGCAACUGGGUUACUUCCUUGGGAGAGGUCUCCUUUCUAACAAAUUCACGAUUUGAAGGUGCUUGCAGGUAGGCGCCAUUGUAAAACAGAUUAAUCAUACACGCAGGGUUCCAUUCUUUUGUUUCUUCAGCAAUUUUUGUAUCUUAUUUUUUUUGGUUUGUCAUAAACAUUCAAACUACACGGUUACACGGUUGUAAAGUUGCUAAAAUAUGAAAUGAUUCUUUUCUUCGUUCUUUUGCUCCAUUGCUCUUCAUUUCAAAAUGCAGUUCCCAUAGGAGUCAUGUGUUCUAAAGAUGAUGUGAAGUUGAAUACAGUGGUUCACAAAUAAAUACAUUCCAAUGAAGAGAGUCAUGUUAAAUUUAA
rnacentral:misc_RNA from 1 species